GUCUGGGUUCAAUGUAGCAAUUCUCCGGCCAUGGCGUCUUUCUGAGCCCGGCUUAGGGAGGAGGCGGUGUUUUGCUGGCUUUUAAUGCAACAGAGAUCAGCUUCGGGCACAGCGCAGAAACAGUAGCUUCGGUGGUCUGAACAAACCCCUUCCCUGUCUUCCACUGCUGCUGAAUGAGAGCUACAAGGCGAGGGUGUGCAAGCAUGCUCACUGACCUCAAAACAAUGCUGUGAAGUGACAGGUAGGGGCUGUGUACCUCAUCAAGUUGAACAUGCUGUUCUCUUAGCCACGGAAAUCUUCAAGAUAAAGGAGGAAGAGUGAGCAGGAAGCACUGUUUUCUCCACAGAAAGGGUAUUCUUGCUGGGAAGAAAUAUUUGUCGAUUCACAACACCUGUGGUUCCUCCUAGCCUCAGGCUCUGAAGUUUUAGGU